rnacentral:rRNA from 1 species
UACGAAGGGGGCUAGCGUUGUUCGGAUUUACUGGGCGUAAAGGGCGCGUAGGCGGCUUGGCAAGUGGAAGGUGAAAUCCCUCGGCUUAACCGAGGAACUGCCCUCCAAACUGCUUUGCUUGAGGCCGGGAGAGGCGAGUGGAAUUCCCAGUGUAGCGGUGAAAUGCGUAGAUAUUGGGAGGAACACCAGUGGCGAAGGCGGCUCGCUGGACCGGUUCUGACGCUGAGGCGCGAAAGCGUGGGGAGCAAACGGG